UUAAAACACUUGUAACACGAAGUUCCAUUGCUAUCGGGAAACCGGGCACUGAUGUGUAAAUUGAUCAGUAGACUUUCUUCGGUCUCUCUCUGGCUGCGUUUACACAGGAAACCCAAUUCUGAUAUUUUUUUCACUAAUUGGUGUUUUGACCAAUCAGAUCAGCUCUGAAAAAAAUCUGACGUGAAGAAAUCUGUGAUUGGUCAAAAGACCAAUUAGUGGAAAAAAUAUCAGUAUUGGGCUGCCUGUCUAAACGCAGCCUCUCUCGGAGUAAUUACCACUCAGCUGUUCUAAAGAACAACCAAUGGCAGUCUUCCAAUGACUGAGUUCAUAUUCUUUGUGCCACGCUCAAUUUGGAAUAGUGAUUGUUGGGCCGGCCUGCCUGCCACCCUCUCAGGGCACUGGAGAAUGCAACCAACCAGGAAAAACAGCCCCAAACCUACCAUAUCUGGUGAGGUAUCCAUCUCCUGGGCAGACGUGUCGUCUUUGUCAUAUGGAUUUCAGCAAUCUCCUCUCACCUUUUCUGUAACAAAAUAAUGCACAUAAACAAAUUCUGGUUUA